CGUGUAAGGACUUUUAAUGUUCCCACUUACUAAAUGAAAUUUAGUUUUUUUUUUUUUUAAAUUUUUAAAUUUUGAUAGUGUCUAACUAGUUACCUUUCAAAAGGUUAAUUACACAUAAAAAUUUAAAUCAACAUGACAACUUGGUGCACACAACUUGGUUCAUACCAUCUUUGGGAAGCGAACCUGACUAAGGGUGUGCUUCCAUUCCAUGCCUCAGAGUGAUAACUUGGUUC
rnacentral:lncRNA from 1 species